CGCAGCCUCCACGACACCACCGCAUCGGCUACGCCUUCCCACCGAAGAAAGAGCAGACCUUCAUCCAACUGUCUCUGAUCGCCCACGCUGGACAAGACGGCAUCAAUCUGGUCCCCGUCGAUGCCUCUAAGGCCCCUUCGACUGCAUCAUCCACAAGCUCUACGACGACAACUGGAAUAAGCAAUUGAAGGAAUGCUCAUCUCUCUAUCCCCGCACCGUCAUCCUCGACCCGCCCGAGUCCAUCGCCCGCCUCCACAACCGGGUCUCAAUGCUCGACGUCAUCAAAGCCGCCUUCAAAGCCCCGCG
rnacentral:lncRNA from 1 species